rnacentral:rRNA from 1 species
AACGAACGCUGGCGGCAUGCCUAACACAUGCAAGUCGAACGAGACCUUCGGGUCUAGUGGCGCACGGGUGCGUAACGCGUGGGAACCUGCCCUUAGGUUCGGAAUAACUCCCCGAAAGGGGUGCUAAUACCGGAUAAUGUCUUCGGACCAAAGAUUUAUCGCCUUUGGAUGGGCCCGCGUUGGAUUAGCUAGUUGGUAGGGUAAAAGCCUACCAAGGCGACGAUCCAUAGCUGGUCUGAGAGGAUGAUCAGCCACACUGGGACUGAGACACGGCCCAGACUCCUACGGGAGGCAGCAGUGGGGAAUAUUGGACAAUGGGCGAAAGCCUGAUCCAGCGAUGCCGCGUGAGUGAUGAAGGCAUUAGGGUUGUAAAGCUCUUUUACCCGGGAUGAUAAUGACAGUACCGGGAGAAUAAGCUCCGGCUAACUACGUG